AACUUUUAGCAACGGAUCUCUUGGCUCUCGCAUCGAUGAAGAACGCAGCGAAAUGCGAUAGGUAAUGUGAAUUGCAGAAUUCAGUGAAUCAUCGAAUCUUUGAACGCACCUUGCACCCUUUGGCAUUCCGAAGGGUAUGCUCGUUUGAGUGUCAUUGUACUCUCAUGCUCCCGAUGCUUUUGGAUCGGGAGUGGUGGACUUGGGUGUUGCUGCUUUACUGUGGCUCACCUCAAAUGGAGUAGUGCAACUCUUGGUUGGACAUAGUACGGCGUGAUAAGUGUCUUCGCCGGCGCCUCAUUAGAGGGUGGCCGAUCGGGAGCUCUGUGCUUCAAACCGUCUUCGGACAACAUCUGACAACUUGACCUCAAAUCGAGUAGGACUACCCGCUGAACUUAAGCAUAUCAAUAAGCGGAGGCU
rnacentral:misc_RNA from 1 species